ACGCCUAAAACUAAAAAAGGCCUGAAAAGAAAGAACGCAGAUACUCUGCAAAAGCUGAGCGUCAUUUCCAUAGAACCCCUCCCCCCCCAACGUUACUUCUUCUUCCUUAUGAAACUAGACACACACCCAUAGCCAUCACCGAAAAAAUCAUCAGCCUCAACCACUGCUAUUCAUUCUCCUCCGUCCUCCUCUUUCUCUGUUACUACUGGCGACGGAGGGUGACAGAUUUGGCCAGAGAUCCGACAACCACUGUUGUUUCAUCGGAUUCGGCUACUGCUUCAUCAGAGUUGCUCUUAGAUUCCGACCAGAGUUAUCGUUUUGUGAUGGAUCUCAUUAACUCCGGGGAUAUCUCCAUAUCUUCCAGCCCUAAUAUCUAAGCUACAGCAGCCAAACCUCGAGAUUUAUUAGAAAAGAACCUUCAACGGUAAUAUCUUUCAUUUUGCUCUGAUUUUUCGAGAACGAUUCGGACACACACACAUACACGCAAAAUCACACAGAGAUAUAGUUGCUUCAGUCAUUUUGAUUUUUAGAUUUGUUAUGGAGUUCAUGUGAAUUUUUGAGUUUCGUUCCUUCUGAUUUUAAAAGAAAUUGACUCAAGUCCGGUCAUGGAGUUUUAGUUGAGUGUUAUUGCUGCUUCGUUGGUUCGGUGGUGAUUGGUCGAGGUUGUCGUGACUGUCCAAGUUUUCUAUAGUUAAACACUUUCAGAUUGCAUUUGGAAAGUUUGUCUCAGGAGUUCAAUAAACAAAUGAGGAUUUAUGAUGGUAAUCAAGUGAAAAAUGGAGUCAAAUGACGAAAAGUUGAGCAGCAACAUCUUAACAAGAGAAAGCGGGUCAUGCGCGGGUCAUGCACAGGUCAUGCGUUGGUCAUGCGCUGGUCAUGCGCUCCCGCGCUAGUCCAGUCCGGGAAAUCAAUUAUUUGGGGGCAAAAUGGGAAAUCUAAGAGGAUCCACUCAACUUACAUAAAGUAAAGCUCCAUUAUUGAGAAAAGAGAUCAGAUUUUGAGGGAUAAAAAGCCAUAGAAGAAGGAGAAGCUUCAUCUUGGAGCUAAGAAAGGAGAAGAAGAACAUCAUCUUGAAGCAAGGAUUCAAAGAGCUCUUCUAAACUUUCUUCUAUUUGCUUGUUAAUAUUAUGUUUAAAACUUUUAUUGUUGAUUUUUGUAUGA